rnacentral:rRNA from 1 species
GACGAACGCUGGCGGCGUGCUUAACACAUGCAAGUCGAACGGAAAGGCCCUGCUUUUGUGGGGUGCUCGAGUGGCGAACGGGUGAGUAACACGUGAGUAACCUGCCCUUGACUUUGGGAUAACUUCAGGAAACUGGGGCUAAUACCGGAUAGGAGCUCCUGCUGCAUGGUGGGGGUUGGAAAGUUUCGGCGGUUGGGGAUGGACUCGCGGCUUAUCAGCUUGUUGGUGGGGUAGUGGCUUACCAAGGCUUUGACGGGUAGCCGGCCUGAGAGGGUGACCGGCCACAUUGGGACUGAGAUACGGCCCAGACUCCUACGGGAGGCAGCAGUGGGGAAUAUUGCACAAUGGGCGGAAGCCUGAUGCAGCAACGCCGCGUGCGGGAUGACGGCCUUCGGGUUGUAAACCGUUUUCGCCUGUGACGAAGCGUGAGUGAGGGUAAUGGGUAAAGAAGCACCGGCUAACUACGUG